CAAUAGCGUAUAUUAAAACUGUUGCGGUUAAAACGCUCGUAGUUGGAUAUUUGUUGGAGAGCGCUGGUCCACCCCAGCGGUGCGUACUUGGUGCUUCUUUGACAUCUUACUGGAGAAAGUACGUGCGCUUCACUGCGUGCGUGCAUGAACCAGAACUUUUACUUUGAGGAAAUGAGAGUGUUUCAAGCAGGCCAUUGCCAUGAAUACGUUAGCAUGGAAUAAUAACAUAGGACCUUGAGUCGUUGUUGUUGGUUGACGACACAAGGUAAUAAAAAUAGGGAUAGUUGGGGGGCAUUCGUAUUACAAUGUCAGAGGUGAAAUUCUUGGAUUAUUGUACGACGGACUACUGCGAAAGCAUUUGCCAAGGAUGUUUUUUUAAUCAAGAACGAAAGUUAGGGGAUCGAAGAUGAUUAGAU
rnacentral:rRNA from 1 species